UACGUAGGGUGCAAGCGUUGUCCGGAAUUAUUGGGCGUAAAGAGCUCGUAGGCGGUGUGUCGCGUCGGCCGUGAAAACCUGGGGCUCAACUCUGGGCGUGCGGUCGAUACGGGCAUCACUUGAGUUCGGCAGGGGAGACUGGAACUCCUGGUGUAGCGGUGAAAUGCGCAGAUAUCAGGAGGAACACCUAUAGCGAAGGCAGCUUACUGGGCUGUAACUGACGCUGAGGCACGAAAGUGUGGGGAUCAAACAGG
rnacentral:rRNA from 1 species